rnacentral:tRNA from 1 species
CGUGUACCGCAGCGGCAAUGCAGCCGGCCGCUGCCCUGAAGAUGAAGGUUCGAUUCCUC